CCUUUUUGGCACUAGCACAUUUUGCUGUCUUUUUAUAUCAGCGAAAGUAUGCUAGUGGCAAGCAGGACGUCAUCGACCUUUCAUCCGG